rnacentral:lncRNA from 1 species
CAACACCCUAUGUUUUUCUAGGAUAUCCAGUCAAUUGUGAUGGAUACAUAUGCAUGGAUAUGAGGGAUGGGAAGACACUAAUUUCCAGAGAUGUGAUCUUUGAAGAAAAUAAAUUUCAGUCAAAGAAAACAGUUAUUUCUCAAUCUCCAACACAUUCAGUUCAGGCAGAGGAGAGUGAAUCAGAUGAGGGUGAAGAAGAGGCUGAACAGAGCAGAAUAAAUGACAAUUCAGAACAAGCAG